rnacentral:lncRNA from 1 species
CUCUCUCUCUCUCUCUCUCUCUCUCUCUCUCUCUCUGUGUGUGUGUGUGUGGAACCUCAGCGUCCCUCUAAAAAUCAAAUGCUUCUUGUGGUUAUGUUGCAAAAACAAACUCAACAAUAGAGACAUGCUUGGAAGGAAGAUUAGGCAUUUUUUGGAUGGAUGCACCAUUGGUCAUCAAGUUGCCAAAGCUAUAGAUUAUCUUUUCUCAAUGGGGAUAGCAACGGAUUGAGUAUCGAUUAGGUUAGCCAAUACUUAUAUCCAUCUCGUAGUUAAAAGGCUCAUAUUCAUGUCCACCUCAUACCC